rnacentral:rRNA from 1 species
UACGAAGGGUGCAAACGUUGCUCGGAAUUAUUGGGCGUAAAGCGCACGUAGGCGGCUUUGCAAGUCCCAUGUGAAAUCCCACGGCUCAACCGUGGAAGUGCAUGGGAAACUGCAGAGCUUGAGUACUUAAGAGGAUCGCGGAAUUCCCGGUGUAGAGGUGAAAUUCGUAGAUAUCGGGAGGAACACCAGUGGCGAAGGCGGCGAUCUGGGAAGAUACUGACGCUGAGGUGCGAAAGCGUGGGGAGCAAACGGG